GAUGAACGCUGGCGGCGUGCCUAAUACAUGCAAGUCGAGCGAACGGACGAGAAGCUUGCUUCUCUGAUGUUAGCGGCGGACGGGUGAGUAACACGUGGAUAACCUACCUAUAAGACUGGGAUAACUUCGGGAAACCGGAGCUAAUACCGGAUAAUAUUUUGAACCGCAUGGUUCAAAAGUGAAAGACGGUCUUGCUGUCACUUAUAGAUGGAUCCGCGCUGCAUUAGCUAGUUGGUAAGGUAACGGCUUACCAAGGCAACGAUGCAUAGCCGACCUGAGAGGGUGAUCGGCCACACUGGAACUGACACGGUCCAGGCUCCUACGGGAGGCAGCAGUAGGGAAUCUUCCGCAAUGGGCGAAAGCCUGACGGAGCAACGCCGCGUGAGUGAUGAAGGUCUUCGGAUCGUAAAACUCUGUUAUUAGGGAAGAACAUAUGUGUAAGUAACUGUGCACAUCUUGACGGUACCUAAUCAGAAAGCCACGGCUAACUACGUG
rnacentral:rRNA from 1 species